rnacentral:lncRNA from 1 species
GAAGGUGCAGUAGGAUGAUCCAUAUGCUCCUCAUCCUCAGGGAUAGGGUCUCCAAUAUCUGGUGCAUCACCCUCUGGUGUAUCACCCUGAAUCCCUGCUCCAGUAUGAACCCACUGCUCAUUCACUUUCUCAUAGCCCAUGCGAAUAAGUGAUCGUGCAGUGUAUGUAUCAGUAAAAAGUAGAUGCCUGGAUACCUCCCCUUCGACAGAUAUGUCGUGCUGUCGGAAGAUCAAGGUGAGUAUCAUACCAUAAGGCAGGGAUACUCUGAGUUACAGAUCACCUUCCUCAUCUGCCUCAGUAUUAUGGCCGGGAGAUUCAGGGGAAUACCCUGAAUAAUAUGCUCCAUCACUGCUAGAUCUCGCUCUGUAAUGAGAUCAAAUCUUCCGCUCUUCGGAAAUAGAAUCCUAUUUAUGAUGCUGAGCAACAACCUCAUUUCUGCAGAAAGAGAGCUCGCUAUUACCUUCUCCGAAAAGUCGAAGUCUUCAUUCUCAAGUAUCAAUUGCAGGGCUCUCAUCUUGUUUUCUGGCUUUUCUGGAGUUGCUCCUUCGC